rnacentral:rRNA from 1 species
GGAUGUAACGACUGGCGGCGUAGCUUAACUACAUAGCAAGUCGAACGAAGACACUCUUUUAGAGUUUCCUUCGGGGGAAGAAGGAAAGUUGUGGACUGAGUGGCGGACGGGUGAGUAACGCGUGGGCAACCUGCCCCAUACAGGGGGAUAACAGCCGGAAACGGCUGCUAAAACCGCAUAAGCGCACAAGGGCCGCAUGGCCUGGUGUGAAAAACUCCGGUGGUAUGGGAUGGGCCCGCGUCUGAUUAGCUAGUUGGCGGGGGAGAGGCCCACCAAGGCGACGAUCAGUAGCCGACCUGAGAGGGUGGCCGGCCACAUUGGGACUGAGACACGGCCCAAACUCCUACGGGAGGCAGCAGUGGGGAAUAUUGCACAAUGGGGGGAAACCCUGAUGCAGCGACGCCGCGUGAGCGAAGAAGUAUUUCGGUAUGUAAAGCUCUAUCAGCAGGGAAGAAGCAAGACGGUACCUGACCAAGAAGCCCCGGCUAACUACGUG